GUCUGGUUCAGAAGCAGGUCACCUGCUUUGUAUGCAGAAGGUCCUGGGUUCAAUCCCCAACAGCACCU